GACGAACGCUGGCGGCGCGCCUAACACAUGCAAGUCGAGCGAUGAAAUUUUAACCGAUCUCUUCGGAGAGAGGAUAAAAUGGAUUAGCGGCGGACGGGUGAGUAACACGUGAGAAACCUGCCUUUCACAAGGGGAUAGCCUCGGGAAACCGGGAUUAAUACCCUAUGACACAUUUCCUUCGCAUGGAAGAAAUGUUAAAACUCCGGUGGUGAAAGAUGGUCUCGCGCCUGAUUAGCUAGUUGGUGGGGUAACGGCCCACCAAGGCCAUGAUCAGUAACCGGCCUGAGAGGGUGAACGGUCACAUUGGAACUGAGACACGGUCCAAACUCCUACGGGAGGCAGCAGUGGGGAAUAUUGCACAAUGGAGGAAACUCUGAUGCAGCGACGCCGCGUGAGCGAUGAAGGCUUUCGAGUCGUAAAGCUCUGUCCUAUGGGAAGAUAAUGACGGUACCAUAGGAGGAAGCCCCGGCUAACUACGUG
rnacentral:rRNA from 1 species